UACGGUAGGAUGCAAGCGUUGUCCGGAAUUAUUGGGCGUAAAGAGCGAGCAGGCGGUUCAUCAAGUCAGAUGGUAAAAUAUCCCGGCUUAACCGGGAGGGGCCAUUUGAAACUGAUGGACUAGAGUGGAGCAGAGGAUAGUGGAAUUCCCGGUGUAGUGGUGAAAUGCGUAGAUAUCGGGGAGGAACACCAGUGGCGAAGGCGACUAUCUGGCUUUAACUGAGCGCUGAGGCGCGAAGGCCGGGGGAGCAAACAGG
rnacentral:rRNA from 1 species